UAUGAUUAUUUAGAGCGCGAGAGUAAUUUUCGGAAUCACGAAAUUAACUUCGUGAUGUCCGGUGAUGCAAUUUACAAUUUGGCGGUUAAUCUGAGGAUUCCCAAGUUGAUCAAGUUCACUUCGAACUGAUCCGUGGAAGAGGCAGGAGUGGCCCAAAGUUCUCGCGCCGUGGUGUCUUUUCAAAGUUUGUAGAAUCGUGUGUGCUAUUGUGAAAAGGCGGUGUGUUAUCGUGUGUGGCUUCGUGCAAUUAAAGGUUUCUUGCCAAGCCGUUCAACCGUCCGUGGCACCACAACCGGACUCCCAGUGGCCAUUUCUGACCCCACCAUCAGGCUCAGAAGUCUCCCGGGGCACGCCGGAAGAGGGACGCUUCCGUUUUCUACGCUCCCUAGGCAGGACGUACAUCAGCGCAUACGUUAUUUCCGUUCCCCUAGUGACGACUAGGGAAACCUCGACGCACGUGUCGCGUCGCGCGCAAAGAAAGUCUCCGAUGAUCGAGUGAACCGACCGCCAACCAGCAGCAGAAAGGCAAUCAGCCUAC